rnacentral:rRNA from 1 species
CGCGUAGGCGGCCAAUUAAGUCAAAUGUGGAAUCCCCGAGCUUAACUUGGGAAUUGCAUUCGAUACUGGUUGGCUAGAGUGUGGGAGAGGAUGGUAGAAUUCCAGGUGUAGCGGUGAAAUGCGUAGAGAUCUGGAGGAAUACCGAUGGCGAAGGCGGCUUUCUGGUCUGUAACUGACGCUGAGGCGCGAAAGCGUGGGGAGCAAACAGGAUUAGAUACCCCAGUA